AACGCGAAGAACCUUACCAGCCCUUGACAUCCCGGUCGCGGAUUCCAGAGACGGAAUCCUUCAGUUCGACUGGACCGGAGACAGGUGCUGCAUGGCUGUCGUCAGCUCGUGUCGUGAGAUGUUGGGUUAAGUCCCGCAACGAGCGCAACCCUCGCCCUUAGUUGCCAUCAUUCAGUUGGGCUCUCUAAGGGGACUGCCGGUGAUAAGCCGCGAGGAAGGUGGGGAUGACGUCAAGUCCUCAUGGCCCUUACGGGCUGGGCUACACACGUGCUACAAUGGCGGUGACAGUGGGAUGCAAUGGGGUAACCCUGCGCAAAUCUCAAAAAGCCGUCUCAGUUCGGAUUGUGCUCUGCAACUCGAGCACAUGAAGUUGGAAUCGCUAGUAAUCGCAGAUCAGCACGCUGCGGUGAAUACGUUCCCGGGCCUUGUACACACCGAUAGC
rnacentral:rRNA from 1 species